rnacentral:rRNA from 1 species
CGGACCCUACGGGACGCAGCAGUGGGGAGUAUUGCACAAUGGGGGAAACCCUGAUGCAGCGACGCCGCGUGAGCGAAGAAGUAUUACGGUAUGUAAAGCUCUAUCAGCAGGGAAGAAAAAUGACGGUACCUGAGUAAGAAGCACCGGCUAAAUACGUGCCAGCAGCCGCGGUAAUACGUAUGGUGCAAGCGUUAUCCGGAUUUACUGGGUGUAAAGGGAGCGCAGGCGGGGCGGCAAGUCUGAUGUGAAAGCCCGGGGCUCAACCCCGGGACUGC